CAAUAGCGUAUAUUAAAGUUGUUGCAGUUAAAAGCUCGUAGUUGGAUUUCUGGUGGGAGUGUUUGGCCGGCUCAAUGAGUCUUGUGCCUAUAUGCUUCUGCCAUCCUUGGGGAAAACUUGCUUGGCAUUAGGUUGUCGAGUUUGGGAUCCCCAUCGUUUACUUUGAAAAAUUAGAGUGUUCAAAGCAGGCCAACGCAUUGAAUACAUUAGCAUGGAAUAAUGGAAUAGGACUUUGGUCUUAUUUUGUUGGUUUCUAAGGCCGAGGUAAUGAUUAAUAGGGAUAGUUGGGGGCGUUUAUAUUCCGUUGUCAGAGGUGAAAUUCUUGGAUUUACGGAAGAUAAACUACUGCGAAAGCAUUCGCCAAGGAUGUUUUCAUUAAUCAAGAACGAAAGUUAGGGGAUCGAAGAUGAUCAGAUACCAU
rnacentral:rRNA from 1 species